rnacentral:lncRNA from 1 species
UAUUAAAUAUGAAUUUUAAGGAUCAGGGGUGUCAUGAGGGAUUCCCGACUACUACUGUGAAUAGGAAACAGUUUAGUUUGAUAUACAAUAUAAAAAUUAUAAAUGAAUGACCACGGUCAUACUUCACCAUUAUGGCCCCUAUAAUCACAGUUGAAGACUAAUGAUUACGGUCGUACCUCGCCAUUGUGGUCUCUAUAAGCAAUAACGAUUCCACUCUGGUCAUAGGGAAUGCCAGUACCAUUAACUGGAAUGGUUCAUCAACAGUCAUUGGAAGUCAUAAUCGGUAACCUCUUAAUGAUAAUGAUCAAACAAAUUUUUAAUCUUUCUACUUUUCCUAUCAGUUUUGAAACUAUUAUCAAUUUACAGUCUAGACCUAGUGGG